AACGAACGCUGGCGGCGCGCCUAAUACAUGCAAGUCGAGCGAGAAGACGUAGCAAUACGUUUGUAAAGCGGCGAACGGGUGAGGAAUACAUGGGUAACCUACCCUCGAGUGGGGAAUAACUAGCCGAAAGGUUAGCUAAUACCGCGUACGCCUCUUGGACUUCGGUUCAGGGAGGAAAGCGAUACCGUGGGUAUCGCGCUCUUGGAUGGGCUCAUGUCCUAUCAGCUUGUUGGUGAGGUAACGGCUCACCAAGGCUUCGACGGGUAGCUGGUCUGAGAGGACGAUCAGCCACACUGGCACUGCGACACGGGCCGGACUCCUACGGGAGGCAGCAGUAAGGAAUAUUGCGCAAUGGGCGAAAGCCUGACGCAGCGACGCCGCGUGGGGGAUGAAGGUCUUCGG
rnacentral:rRNA from 1 species